rnacentral:rRNA from 1 species
UUAGAGUUUGAUCCUGGCUCAGGAUGAACUCUGGCGGCGUGCUUAACACAUUCAAGUCGUACGGGACUCAUUUAAUUAAUCUUUCGGGAAGCGUUGAAUGAGUUUAGUGGCGGACGGGUGAGUAACGCGUGAGCAAUUUGCCUUUGUGAGUGGAAUAACACCCGGAAACAGGUGCUAAUACCGCAUAACGUAUCGAUGUCGCAUGGCAAUGAUACCAAAGAGAGAUCGCACAAAGAUGAGCUCGCGUCCGAUUAGAUAGUUGGUGAGGUAACGGCCCACCAAGUCGACGAUCGGUAGCCGGACUGAGAGGUUGAACGGCCACAUUGGAACUGAGAUACGGCCCAGACUCCUACGGGAGGCAGCAGUGGGGAAUAUUGGGCAAUGGGCGCAAGCCUGACCCAGCAACGCCGCGUGAAGGAAGAAGGCUUUCGGGUUGUAAACUUCUUUUAUCAGGGACGAAACAAAUGACGGUACCUGAAGAAUAAGCCACGGCUAACUACGUGCCAGCAGCCGCGGUAAUGCGUAGGUGGCGAGCGUUAUCCGGAUUUACUGGGUGUAAAGGGCGCGUAGGCGGGAAGGCAAGUCAGAUGUGAAAUCUAUGGGCUUAACCCAUAAACUGCAUUUGAAACUGUUGAUCUUGAGUAUCGGAGAGGCAAUCGGAAUUCCUAGUGUAGCGGUGAAAUGCGUAGAUAUUAGGAGGAACACCAGUGGCGAAGGCGGAUUGCUGGACGACAACUGACGGUGAGGCGCGAAAGCGUGGGGAGCAAACAGGAUUAGAUACCCUGGUAAUCCACGCUGUAAACGGUGAAUACUAGGUGUGCGGGGACUGACCCCCUGCGUGCCGCAGCUAACGCAAUAAGUAUUCCACCUGGGGAGUACGAUCGCAAGGUUGAAACUCAAAGGAAUUGACGGGGGCCCGCACAAGCGGUGGAUUAUGUGGUUUAAUUCGAAGCAACGCGAAGAACCUUACCUAGACUUGACAUGUCCUGAAUUACCAGUAAUGUGGGAAGUUCCUUCGGGAACAGGAACACAGGUGGUGCAUGGUUGUCGUCAGCUCGUGUCGUGAGAUGUUGGGUUAAGUCCCGCAACGAGCGCAACCCUUAUUGUUAGUUGGUACCAUUAAGUUGACCACUCUAGCGAGACUGCCCGGGUUAACCGGGAGGAAGGUGGGGAUGACGUCAAAUCAUCAUGCCCCUUAUGACUUGGGCUACACACGUGCUACAAUGGCGUAAACAAAGAGAAGCAAAACCGUGAGGUCAAGCAAAUCCCAAAAAUAACGUCUCAGUUCGGACUGUAGUCUGCAACCCGACUACACGAAGCUGGAAUCGCUAGUAAUCGCAGAUCAGAAUGCUGCGGUGAAUACGUUCCCGGGUCUUGUACACACCGCCCGUCA